rnacentral:rRNA from 1 species
UACGGGGGGGGCAAGCGUUGUUCGGAAUUACUGGGCGUAAAGGGCUCGUAGGCGGCCAACUAAGUCGGACGUGAAAUCCCCUCGGCUCAACCGGGGAACUGCGUCCGAUACUGGAUGGCUUGAGUUCGGGAGAGGGAUGCGGAAUUCCAGGUGUAGCGGUGAAAUGCGUAGAUAUCUGGAGGAACACCGGUGGCGAAGGCGGCAUCCUGGACCGACACUGACGCUGAGGAGCGAAAGCCAGGGGAGCAAACGGG